AUAUAUGAAACUCUCUGAAUCAUUAUUCCUAAGGGAUCUUUUCAUUCAUAAUCACAAGGUUUAGUCAAAAAUCAAAAAGAUAACUUAUACUGCAAUCAUUAUAGAUCUAUACCCUGAUGUUUCUAGUGUCUACCCAUCUACACUCAUCCUAUAUUUGAUCCUAUAUGUCAUAAUUCAUCCACUAAUACUUUGAUGCUAUAUUAAUUAUUAUUCUUCCGACCUAAAAUCAUGAGCCAG
rnacentral:lncRNA from 1 species